UACAGAGGUCUCAAGCGUUUGUUCGGAUUCAUUGGGGCGUAAAGGGUGUGUAGGUGGCGCCGUAAGUCGGGUGUGAAAAUUUCGGAGCUUAACUCCGAAACUGCAUUCGAUACUGCGGUGCUUGAGGACUGGAGAGGAGACUGGAAUUCAUGGUGUAGCAGUGAAAUGCGUAGAGAUCAUGAGGAAGACCAGUGGCGAAGGCGGGUCUCUGGACAGUUCCUGACACUGAGACACGAAGGCCAGGGGAGCAAACGGG
rnacentral:rRNA from 1 species